rnacentral:rRNA from 1 species
UACGUAGGUGGCAAGCGUUGUCCGGAUUUACUGGGCGUAAAGGAUGCGUAGGCGGACAUUUAAGUCAGAUGUGAAAUACCCGAGCUUAACUUGGGUGCUGCAUUUGAAACUGGGUGUCUAGAGUGCAGGAGAGGUAAGCGGAAUUCCUAGUGUAGCGGUGAAAUGCGUAGAGAUUAGGAAGAACACCGGUGGCGAAGGCGGUCAACUGGCCCUCAACUGACGCUGAGGCACGAAAGCGUGGGGAUCAAACAGG